rnacentral:rRNA from 1 species
GAUGAACGCUAGCUACAGGCUUAACACAUGCAAGUCGAGGGGAAACGAUAGAGAAAGCUUGCUUUUUCUAGGCGUCGACCGGCGCACGGGUGAGUAACGCGUAUCCAACCUGCCCAUCACUUGGGGAUAACCUUGCGAAAGUAAGACUAAUACCCAAUGACGUCUCUAGAAGACAUCUGAAAGAGAUUAAAGAUUUAUCGGUGAUGGAUGGGGAUGCGUCUGAUUAGCUUGUUGGCGGGGUAACGGCCCACCAAGGCGACGAUCAGUAGGGGUUCUGAGAGGAAGGUCCCCCACAUUGGAACUGAGACACGGUCCAAACUCCUACGGGAGGCAGCAGUGAGGAAUAUUGGUCAAUGGACGAGAGUCUGAACCAGCCAAGUAGCGUGCAGGAUGACGGCCCUAUGGGUUGUAAACUGCUUUUAUAAGGGAAUAAAGUGAGUCUCGUGAGACUUUUUGCAUGUACCUUAUGAAUAAGGACCGGCUAAUUCCGUGCCAGCAGCCGCAGUAA